UCAGUAGUGAUUUAUAGCAGCUGGUUACUAGCCAGCUGCGCCACAGCCCGGCAUAGAAAUAGCAUAGAUUUCACUUAUUGCAACCUAUGUCUCUUAAAGUGGACCCCCCUCUCAAUUCACUAUUGCUCUUGGUGAAGUCUCUGCCCCAUUCUGCCCCUUCGCCUUUUCUUCUUUUCCUCUUGGGCUCCUUCCUCCUGGAGGCCUCCAUUCUGUCCUUUGGGUCUCCAAGGGUGGGAAAUGCCCGGGCUGAGCCCACCCCACGCUCAGGAUUCCCAUGAACAGGAGGGGGAGCCCUUGAGUCACAUCCAUGGCCCAAAAGGACACUCAACCCCUCCUCCUCCCCCCUUUCCCCAAACCAGCAGGUCCUAUAGAAGCUGAGCCACGACCUAAAGCAGCACUUGGCCGCCUAUUCCAAGCGAGUGGCUGGAUCCGUCACAGAACUCAUGCAGGCGGCUGAAGCUAUGAACGGAACAGAGUGGGUGGACCCUGAAGACCCCACAUUACAGAGAACAAGCUGUUGGGAGUCGUGGCGGCCAUUAUGGUUGUGACCAAGGAUCUGGAGCAGCUGAAGCUGAGGGCCAAGCCCACGGUAGGUCAUAGAGAUGCUCCAUCCCCCACCCCAAUAUUGCUCAGGUGGGACCCCAGUUCCUAUUGCAAGGAGGGCCACAUUGCUUUCAUGGUUAGAAGGCAGGCAUGGGCCAACUUGGGCCCUCCCUCCAGGUGUUUUGUGUUGGGAAUCACCCUGGACUACUCAAGUCUAAAUGUAGUCAGAUAGAUGAUAGAGUUAGAUUGAGAGAAUCCUUUCCCCGUUUCCAAAGCAUGCCUAGAUAGGAUUCACCAUUGUUUCCUGCUUCCCAUCCUAUUUAGGUCAGCCACUCUUUGAUGUUUCUAGAAAUGUGAUCUCUCCCAGGGCUUUGACGUAACUUCCCCAAUUUGGCCUUUGGAAUGUUUAUGGCCCUAGAGAAGAACAGACCCACAAGGCUUGGUCGCCUUUCCAGCUUUCUGCUUUGUUCCAGAGAGGACGCACCUCUGUCCUCUAUUAGUCAAGAUGUAGCUAUCUAGAGCUUUGUUAUUUUAAUCCGUCUAUGUGUAUUAGAACAGGAUAGAUUAGAUAGUUAGCUCCAAACCUUUUCUAUCCAUCAAUUGAUUUCUUUUUACCUCAAUAAAUGCUUUUAAACUUUAAA